UACAGAGGGUGCGAGCGUUGUUCGGAAUUAUUGGGCGUAAAGGGCGCGUAGGCGGUGCGGUAAGUCACCUGUGAAAUCUCCUGGCUCAACUGGGAGCUUGCAGGCGAAACUGCCGUGCUGGAGUGUGGGAGAGGUGCGUGGAAUUCCUGGUGUAGCGGUGAAAUGCGUAGAGAUGUGGAGGAACACCGAUGGCGAAGGCAGCCUUCUGGGCCAACACUGACGCUCAUGCACGAAAGCGUGGGGAGCAAACAGG
rnacentral:rRNA from 1 species